rnacentral:rRNA from 1 species
UGGGGAAUAUUGUACAAUGGGCGCAAGCCUGAUCCAGCCAUGCCGCGUGAGUGAUGAAGGCCCUAGGGUUGUAAAGCUCUUUCACCGGUGAAGAUAAUGACGGUAACCGGAGAAGAAGCCCCGGCUAACUUCGUGCCAGCAGCCGCGGUAAUACGAAGGGGGCUAGCGUUGUUCGGAUUUACUGGGCGUAAAGCGCACGUAGGCGGACUUUUAAGUCAGGGGUGAAAUCCCGGGGCUCAACCCCGGAACUGCCUUUGAUACUGGAAGUCUUGAGUAUGGUAGAGGUGAGUGGAAUUCCGAGUGUAGAGGUGAAAUUCGUAGAUAUUCGGAGGAACACCAGUGGAGAAGGCGGCUCACUGGACCAUUACUGACGCUGAGGUGCGAAAGCGUGGGGAGCAAACAGG